CAAUAGCUCAAAUUUGAAAUCUGGCGUCUUCGGCGUCCGAGUUGUAAUUUGUAGAGGAUGCUAUUGAGUCGUCACCGGUCUAAGUUCCUUGGAACAGGACGUCAUAGAGGGUGAGAAUCCCGUAUGUGACCGGCCAGACGCUCUCUGUAUAGCUCCUUCGACGAGUCGGGUUGUUUGGGAAUGCAGCCCUAAAUGGGAGGUAAAUUUCUUCUAAAGCUAAAUACCGGCCAGAGACCGAUAGCGCACAAGUAGAGUGAUCGAAAGAUGAAAAGCACUUUGGAAAGAGAGUUAAAAAGCACGUGAAAUUGUUGAAAGGGAAGCGCUUGCAAUCAGUCUCGACGGCGGCUGUUCGGCCUCUCUUCUGAGUGGUUUAUUCAGUCGCCGCCGGGCCAGCAUCAGUUUUGGCGGUCGGAUAAAGGCGCGGGGAAUGUAGCUCCCCUCGGGGAGUGUUAUAGCCCCGCGCGCAAUACGGCCCGCCGGGACUGAGGUCCGCGCUUCGGCUAGGAUGCUGGCGAAAUGGUUGUAAGCGGCCCGUCUUGAAACACGGACCAAGGAGUCUAACAUCUAUGCGAGUGUUUGGGUGUCAAACCCGUGCGCGUAAUGAAAGUGAACGGAGGUGGGAACCGCAAGGUGCACCAUCGACCGAUCCUGAUGUCUUCGGAUGGAUUUGAGUAAGAGCAUAGCUGUUGGGACCCGAAAGAUGGUGAACUAUGCCUGAAUAGGGUGAAGCCAGAGGAAACUCUGGUGGAGGCUCGCAGCGGUUCUGACGUGCAAA
rnacentral:rRNA from 1 species